CAUAAGCCAGCUUGACUGCGAGCGUGACGGCGCGAGCAGGUGCGAAAGCAGGUCAUAGUGAUCCGGUGGUUCUGAAUGGAAGGGCCAUCGCUCAACGGAUAAAAGGUACUCCGGGGAUAACAGGCUGAUACCGCCCAAGAGUUCAUAUCGACGGCGGUGUUUGGCACCUCGAUGUCGGCUCAUCACAUCCUGGGGCUGAAGUAGGUCCCAAGGGUAUGGCUGUUCGCCAUUUAAAGUGGUACGCGAGCUGGGUUUAGAACGUCGUGAGACAGUUCGGUCCCUAUCUGCCGUGGGAGCUGGAGAACUGAGGGGGGCUGCUCCUAGUACGAGAGGACCGGAGUGGACGCAUCACUGGUGUUCGGGUUGUCAUGCCAAUGGCACUGCCCGGUAGCUAAAUGCGGAAGAGAUAAGUGCUGAAAGCAUCUAAGCACGAAACUUGCCCCGAGAUGAGUUCUCCCUGAGACUUAGAGUCUCCUGAAGGAACGUUGAAGACGACGACGUUGAUAGGCCGGGUGUGUAAGCGCAGCGAUGCGUUGAGCUAACCGGUACUAAUGAACCGUGAGGCUUAACCUUACAACGCCGAAG
rnacentral:rRNA from 1 species